UACAGAGGUCUCAAGCGUUGUUCGGAUUCAUUGGGCGUAAAGGGUGCGUAGGCGGCGCGGUAAGUCGGGUGUGAAAUCCCGGGGCUCAACCCCGGAACUGCAUUCGAUACUGCCGCGCUAGAGUACUGGAGAGGAGAUUGGAAUUUACGGUGUAGCAGUGAAAUGCGUAGAUAUCGUAAGGAAGACCAGUGGCGAAGGCGGAUCUCUGGACAGUUACUGACACUGAGGCACGAAGGCCAGGGGAGCAAACGGG
rnacentral:rRNA from 1 species